AGCAGAAGUGCUCUGAAGAGAGUUUGUCCUUGGGCAGUUACAUUUAUGUUUAGAGCAGCUGCAGGUGUGUAACAAAGCCUGCCUACCUUCUGCAUUUACCAAUAUUUUGAUGCUUGUGUUUGCUUUUUGUAUCACUCCUAAUUAACAUAUAUUGGAAGGGAAUUGGAAAGAAGCUUGCUUGUUAUACUUUAUUCCUUUCUGUUAUUUAUUUCUGAACUAGGGAGUCAGACCGUGCAUGUUACAGAAUCACAGAAUUGCAGGGUUGGAAGGGACCUCCAGCGGUCAUCAAGGACAACCUCCCUGCUAAGGCAGGUACUCUACAAUAGAUCGCACAUGUAGGCAUCCAGACAGGUUUUGAGUAUUUCCAUAGAAAGAAACUCUGCAACCUCUCUGGCAACCUGUUCCAGUGCUCAAGAAGCUCUGACAAAGUGGACCUCCUUCUUGCAAGAGACUUCUUUGCAAGGAAGCAUGUAGCUGAAGGAUGUAGUGGUUGAGCAAAUUUACUGGCAACAUAGAAGACUUCUACUAGCACUUGUCACGCUGGCACACAUUUCAAGGCACUGUGAUGUAGUGGGGCUAACAAGGUACUCUCUGCUACUUGCUGGCUUGUGAUUGCUGCCACAAGUGCUUGUGCGAAGUGCUGAGAGCAAGAGUAAGGCUGCAGGGUGGUGCAAGGAGGAGCAAUCCCAUCCCUUUUUGGGAACUUCAAAGUCACUUCAAGAAAUCUUCAUAGUCUGUCACUUGAGCUUGCUGCCUUUUGUCCAUGUGAUGGAAUUUGUGGAAUUAUGCUUUUAUGUUGGAAUUGUAAGUAAGGACACUGCACAGGGUAGACAGAUUCUUAGUAUAUCUAUAUUGAUUUUCUUUUGGACCUAAAUUUCUUAAAAAUGUUGACAAACAAUAGAGAAGAAUGAUGAUGCUGAUACCUGUAAUUUUUUCAGAUGCAAGGUUCACAAAGAACGUAAGAAACGGGAGACGUGGUUCUGUAGCAACUGCUUGCCACCAUGACUGAGAAUGUGGACAUGUCAUUGAUAAAGCAGUGAGGAAUGUCUUUCAGGUAUUCUUUUUUAGUGCUGCCAAGUAGCUCUGCUCAUUAUGAGGCUCAAGCCUGAAACUUGAAGUACGUAUAUAAUGACACGCAGAGAUCACAUCUAUCUCUAGAAUUUGUGGACUUCGGAUCCUAUGUAAACUUGGGAAGCAAAGUUAUCUGGAAUACAUCAUUGUACCAUGAAAAUACAGUGCACUAAGGAUGAAAACAUCUCUUUACUUUCUUGUAUAAACUCUGUGCAAUGUAAUCUUAGCAAACUAGAACACCUACGAGAAAUUAAGAGAUGGGGAAUCUGAGAAGGAAAUGGUACAAGAGAGACAGAUGCAAAAAUUCAGGUAGGGUCCAUGAAAG